rnacentral:snRNA from 1 species
UUGAACUUAGAAUACGCUAU